UAUAGAGUAAACUUUUACUGCCAAGCGGAAAGAAGCUAAAAUAUCUCAAUUUCACGCGCAGCUGACCACGGAACAAUAUCGUUCGCCGGAAUGCAGACACUCGCACAGCAAGCUGCUUGUUGCGUCACGGCUCGCGAGUGUGCCAGUGUUGCCCGACU
rnacentral:lncRNA from 1 species